UAAUACAGGGGGUGCAAGCGUUAUUCGGAAUUACUGGGCGUAAAGAGCGUGUAGGCGGUUUGCCAAGUCUGGUGUGAAAUCCCCGGGCCCAAUCCGGGAAGUGCAUUGGAUACUGGCAGACUAGAGUGUAGGAGGGAGAAGCGGAAUUCCAGGUGUAGAGGUGAAAUUCGUAGAUAUCUGGAGGAACAACAGGGGCGAAGGCGGCUUCUUGGACUACAACUGACGCUAAGGCGCGAAAGCGUGGGGAGCAAACAGG
rnacentral:rRNA from 1 species